rnacentral:rRNA from 1 species
GACGAACGCUGGCGGCGUGCUUAACACAUGCAAGUCGAACGGACUACUUUGCUUCGGUAGGGUGGUUAGUGGCGAACGGGUGAGUAACGCGUAGACAACCUACCUCUUAGAUGGGGACAACAUCGCGAAAGCGGUGCUAAUACUGAAUGAAGUGACUUUACUGCAUGGGAGAGAUACUAAAGGUGGCCUCUAUUUAUAAGCUACCACUGCGAGAUGGGUCUGCGUCUGAUUAGCUAGUUGGCGGGGUAACGGCCCACCAAGGCGACGAUCAGUAGCCGGUCUGAGAGGAUGAACGGCCACAUUGGGACUGAGACACGGCCCAAACUCCUACGGGAGGCAGCAGUGGGGAAUCUUCCGCAAUGGACGAAAGUCUGACGGAGCAACGCCGCGUGAGUGAAGAAGGUUUUCGGAUCGUAAAGCUCUGUUGUUUGAGACGAAUGUGCCUGUUUCAAAUAGGGAUAGGUAAUGACGGUAUUAAACGAGAAAGCCACGGCUAACUACGUGCCAGCAGCCGCGGUAA